AUUUUGCAGAAUGAAAAAAAAACAGAAACAGAAAAGUACAUAGCAUUUGAUAUCAUUUUUUUUGUUUUUAAAUUUUAAGUUAUUUAUUUUGAGACACACACACACACACACACACACACACACACACACACAGAGGGGGGAGGGGCAGAGAGAGAGAAUCCCAAGCAGGUUCUAUGCUCAGCACAGAGCCGGACACGGGGCUCGAUCCCAUGACAGCGAGAUCACAACCUGAGCUGGAAAUCAAGAGAUCGACGCUCAACCGACUGAGCCACCCAGGGGUCCCAGCAUUUGAUUUUAUUUGUAAGAAAUUCUUCUUAAAAAGGCAUUCUAAUCUCUAAGGGACAGAAAACAGAUCGGUGGUUGCCUGGGGUUGAGGGUAAGGAGAGGUUUCAACAAAAGAUGGGGAAUAAGGAACUUUUUUGGGUUCCUUAUGGAACCAAUGGUGGAAAUGUUUCUUAUUUGAAUUGCGCUUAAAUAGGUGCAUUUUGUUGUAUGUAAAUUGUAUCGUAGAGAAGUUGAUUUUUUAAAGUGUCAGCCUUUUGAAUUGGAUUUUUACGUCCUUUGCCUCUUUUUUCUUUGCUUUUUCUUUUACUUGGUUUUUCCUCUUUGCUGAAGAUGAACUUUUUAAGGAUGUUCAUUGAAUUGUAAGAGAGGUCAGAUGGAUCCUUAUUGAUCCGCCUAACUUAGGGACCCCCUCCCCCCCUCCCGCCUUGAUUCUGCCCUGCUUCCUUUUCAGUGACAUCUAGUCCUGAGUCUCGACUUCAUCCCUUGUGUCUGGACGAGACGUUGGCGUGUGCUUGUUUUUGAGUCAACUCGGCACCCCCUUAGCAAACUUAUAUACUUUGGGCUUUUCUGUGUUUGGCCCAGGUGGAUAGGAUUCCUUGCUCUCGUCUACACGGUAAUCCAGCCCGCUUCCAGUUUGUUGACGCCAGCAGGCUUAGCCAGUGGUCCUGUAGGGAAUCGGACGUCUGCCAGGAGGAUGAUAAUAGCAGGAACCACAAUAGUACUGAGAAUGAUAACGGUGGCGGCUUCAGCGAGUUUCUGAGACGACAGAGCAUCUGUGUGAGGCCGCCUUGUCAACCGCACGCCAACAAUAUGCUGUCCCCGUCGCUCCUUCAGCCUCUGGCCUCCGAAAAUGCGCUGCACCAGUGCAGGUGUUCACUGUCUCCCUGAAUUGUCUAGCAGUCUCUUGGAAAUGCUCUCUCGAGAGGGGUCUCAAGCCGCCUUUCUAAGGUACCGGUGAAAACAAGACUGGCGAGGAGGGGGCUCUGGGCCUCAGUGCCCGGAAGGGCGUGGGGAAGCGGGCACGGGCGUGUGAUGCUGCUGAGAGGCUCCAGCAGUAGGACUUCUCCGAGAGGUCAUUAGCCAGUACGCAGCACACUUUAAAAAAGUGAGCAUUCCUUCGAUUCAGCAACCCUACCUCCUAGAGGGAAUAAUUACACAAAGGAGGUAGGAUGUGUCUGUGAGAAUGCCUGUCAGGGCGAUUUAUAAAGUCUUAAAAAUUGGAAAGACUCUAAAUAUACCAGUAGUUAAGUAAAUAUGACACACCCGUUAAAUAAAAUGGAAUACUGUACCA
ensembl:lncRNA